rnacentral:rRNA from 1 species
GGAGAGGGCUAGCGUUAUUCGGAAUUAUUGGGCGUAAAGGGCGCGUAGGCGGAUUAGUAAGUUAAAAGUGAAAUCCCAAGGCUCAACCUUGGAAUUGCUUAUAAAACUGCUAAUCUAGAGAUUGAAAGAGGAUAGAGGAAUUCCUAGUGUAGAGGUGAAAUUCGUAAAUAUUAGGAGGAACACCAGUGGCGAAGGCGUCUAUCUGGUUCAAAUCUGACGCUGAGGCGCGAAGGCGUGGGGAGCAAACAGGAUUAGAUACCCUGGUAGUCCACGCUGUAAACGAUGAAUGUUAAAUAUGGGGAGUUUACUUUCUGUAUUACAGCUAACGCGUUAAACAUUCCGCCUGGGGACUACGGUCGCAAGAUUAAAACUCAAAGGAAUUGACGGGGACCCGCACAAGCGGUGGAGCAUGUGGUUUAAUUCGAUGCAACGCGAAAAACCUUACCACUCCUUGACAUGGAAAUUAUACCUAUUCGAAGGGAUAGGGUCGGUUCGGCCGGGUUUCACACAGGUGU